UACGGGGGGGGCAAGCGUUGUUCGGAAUUACUGGGCGUAAAGGGCUCGUAGGCGGCCAACUAAGUCAGACGUGAAAUCCCUCGGCUUAACCGGGGAACUGCGUCUGAUACUGGAUGGCUCGAGUUUGGGAGAGGGAUGCGGAAUUCCAGGUGUAGCGGUGAAAUGCGUAGAGAUCAGGCGGAACACCCGUAGCGAAGGCGGCCAGCUGGGCCGUCCCUGACACUGAGGCGCGAAGGCGUGGGGAGCGAACGGG
rnacentral:rRNA from 1 species